rnacentral:sRNA from 1 species
UGUAAUGGCCGCCAUCAGGGACUCGCAGGCAAUGGGGGACUACGACAGAUAUCAUCUCUUCUUUUGAUCACUGUUCCUGAUUGUGACAUUGUGCAAGUGUUAAAUUGUGUGCCUUUUGUUCCUGAAGAAAGAGAUGUCUCUUACUGUUUGUGUUGGAUAGGUCCUGGGAUCUUUGAAAUGCUAAGAUUCUUGGAUACCACAGUAUCAUAAAAUUCCUCUAAAUGCAGUAAGGAAACAAGUGGGAGAAGAUGCCAGGAUAACGCAGCUGGAAGCGACAGUGCUGUGUUAGAACCCAGGCCUAUCAGACUCUAGGAUCCAGCCUCGACCACUCCCUGAUACACUACAUGGCUUCGUUGUACUUACUUGGCAGAGGUAUGGGUUUUUGGUGGAUUUGUCUGCAAGAAAGAAUUUCAGAUAAUUAAAGGACAAAGCACAAUAUGAGUAAGUUUGACUUUUUGUUUACACUGAUGAUGCUGUGAACAGGCACAUCACAAAUAAAUCAAUACAAAUGGCCAAUAAAAUGUAUCUAAAGAUAGAAGAGGCACCAAAACCUUAGAUAAGUAAGACUCUUCCUUUUAGUUUUGAAAAAGGAGGAAAUCUUGACUAAAGUAUUGUAUUUUAGUCAAGUUCAAUAAUUAACCCAAUUAGUAGGUCUCUGCAACUCUACACAGUUAUUUUAAAGUUGCUCAACACCUUUUAACAUGUAACUGCAAAACAAUGAAAUGUUGGAUUUUUACCUAGCACUGCAAGUCAGUGUCACUGUGCAGUGAAACAAUGCACAUGUUAAUUCCUGCAGCAACAAGAGGAAACUGAUCUUUAAAGGAAAGGAUUCUUACUUCUGGGCAGGAGGAAACACUGGUGACUGCACAGCUUCUUGUCUGUGACUUGACCCUCGGUGGCGUUCAGCAGGUAUAGGUUUUUCUGGAUCAGGGAAAUUAUCAUAUUAGGAUUAGAGUGAAAUGUCUGUCCUCAUCCCAAAACCCAGCAACAUCAGCUGAGAAGAACCAAAUUUGAUCAGAAGUCUUCCUGGGAACAUGUCUUAGUUACUGAGAUGUCAUGGAUCUGUGCACUUGCCAGUCUGUUGAUGUGGUUGUGCUAUUAGGACCAGGACUCCCUCCCAGCAGUGUUACAGGUACAUCCUACCACCUCUGCAUUCAUCCACUGGCAAUGUACAUAGAGACUGAACCCACGGGCCCUGAAACUUUAAGUGUGUGAGUAUAGGUGGAAGCCAGAAGAUGAGAACAUUUUAGCCACCCUCUAAACAACUCACCCUCUACUUGCCAUGUGGCCUCCACACAGGUGGAGACAACACCCUGGUGGGUCUUGAUUAGUCAUAAGACAUGGUAUAAGCAGUGUGUUACUGAUAAGAGGCACACUGCUGAGUUCAUAAAUGAUCUCUUUUUGCAAAAUUAAUUGGAUCAAAUUCAAGGUUAUCCCUAUAAUAAUGCAAAUCUCGCUUGCAUUUCAGUGUUUUCCUGAGCAGAAGAGGAAAGGGUGGGAAAUGAGCAUAAACCUGAAGUGUAAGAAAUUUAUGUUGAAGCCCAUAGUGAACUCUACUGCUGAACCAUUAAUAAAUGUGAUCACAAAUUAUUU